GAAUUAUGAGGAAGCAGGCCUGACUACAGAAAGAUGCCCCCUUUUCGCCUUCUUCAUGUCAACAGACAAGCCGUGAGUGAAAUACCUCCAAAGCAAGAGUAAAGAAAUCUGGAAAUCUCUUCUUUUAUGACCAUGUGCAGACUGUUGAGAAGAAGAAAAUAGAAGUCCACUUUCUAAGCCUCACUAAGCACACAUGGCAGAAACCAGGAGAUAAGGAGUGGCAAGAUCUCAAACCACUGGUGCUGAUGAAUUCAUGAAUAUGUUUUCAAAAUUGCCUAGGAAGAAGAAAGAGUGAAAGAUUAGUUUGGGAGUCCCAGAUACAGCUUUUCUUAGAAAGUGCUAUGGACCUUCUCUCCAAAACUCAUCUGGAGUGCUGCAGGUAUUCUAACAGAUUGACAAAUAUAUGCUUCUGCUGUUACUGAAAGGUGAUGGUAUUGUGAAUUGAGUACCAUUUCUUCAAAAAAGGUCAAGAACACACCAUGUGGAUCAGAUGGUAACCAAGACUGUAGAUUCCCAGGAAAACUGAACCAGUUGCAUUUCAGUGCACUUGAAGAGAUUUGUAAGGAAGCAAGGCAGAAUGAGCUCACCUUGCCAGUGGACAGGAGACACCAUGAAAAAACCACAAUGGAAUCAGGUAUUAGCCAUGGAACUGGUGCACCAUCCUGAAGGGAUCUGACAUGGAGUUCUGUGAAGGUGAUAGAACAACAGAGAACUGGAGAAGAGGCUACAGGUUGAGGCUACAUGGUCUCUUCUGUCUGCAUGAUGCCCCAAGUAGAUGAGGUUGUCUUUUCCUCCAGGCUCCAUGGGGUACAACUACAUGUGAUCUUCAGAUAGCACAGAAAUUUUUCUCUUUUGCUACAAUCACCAUCUUUAAAGAAACUCCCCAUUUCUGUUUUUUCUCCUCUGAGCUGUGAGGAGGAGCUCAGUAGCUCCAGAGUGGCCAGUCAUCCGUCCAUGUUUAUCUUCACUCUGGUCUGUGAGAAUGCCCAAGAAGUCAAGACACUACCAUGCACCUGGAAACACUGCAGCAUACACAGGGAAGUGGAAGUACUUAAAAGCAAAUCAGAAAGACUGGUCUGCUGCCACUGACUGCUGAGAACACAGGAGGGUGAAGGAAGACAAAACUCCAGCUAGAUAGUGCAUAAUUCUGACUGCUGAAAGAAAUACAUCCUGAGGGCUGAAAUCAGAGGUGGCAUAAAGAGGAAAAGAAAUCAAGCAGACAAGGCUGGAAAGCAGACAGAUGACUAUCUGGCAGUGUUUCUUGAGAAGCAUAUCCUAGAGAGCAACAACAAUCUAGUUCUUUACUGGAAUGAGAAGACAGGAAAAAAAAUAAUUAUUAUUUUUCUGGCUGAUUGGAAGGUAUACUGGUCUUCAAAAGUCAAGACUCUGCCAUCACUGGGGAAGAACCAGCUUCAGAGCCUGUGAGUGUUUUCUGAUGAGCUAUUGGCACAUUAGAGACCUACACGUUCACCUGGGGAGGAGCACACCUGUUCAGUCAACCCAUAUACAUGAUAACGUAUGAUAAUCGUGUGUCAGGGCUUCUGGGGACUGUCAUUGCACACAGGCUGCUCAGAGAUCCUCCCAUCUGUAAUGCCAGGUAAACACAUGAAUGUUGAUUCUCUGCCCAGGAGAUAAACCUUCAUUGUGGCAGUAAUGGAUGCAGCACGCAAACAGGAAAGGAGGCUGAUGCAUUCAUUCUCCAGCAAAAGCCAUCCCAUGAGUGCUGUGUCAAGUGUCCACGCUAAUUGGAAAAAACUACUUUGUGGACUUUGCUGAGUUAGAUGACCUUCUGAUAUGUGCUGAAAGGAUUUCUUGUGCAUCCAAGAGGAUAGUUUCAGGUGGGAACUAUGCUGACCAGUUGCACUACUAAAGUACUGGUGGCAUCUGUGAACAACCUUCCUCGAGGGGACACUUCAUGUCUGUAACUGCAUUUUGUCACCUACAGAGGGUGUUAAGAAUCUUGUUAAAAAUAAAGGAAAUAGUUAGGAGACAUCUCGCUGUAGCCAUUAUUAUAGUGCAAAUUACCAGGUAGAGUAAUCCAGAAGCUGUCAUGAAAGGUUAGUAAGAAACUGUGUCAGGAAAUCAACCAUACAGCAAUUCAUCAUGGCCUAACACUAGCUCUAAAUUGAAAGCUUUUAAAAGGCAUUGUUUUAUGAAGUAAGGGACAUUAACUUUUUUUUUUUUUUUACAGCACUGAAUAAAGAUAACUAGGAGAGCGGUUCUCUCAUGAAAGAUAUAAAGACAUAAUGAUGAAAAAUGUCAAUUAUUUUAUCGCACAAAUCUGCAGGCAAGAAUGAAUUUUGUUUCCAUUUAUUGGAAGCCCUGCAUACUGAAGCAGCUUUCACAGAUGAAGACUCUAAAGAAGUUCUGGCUAAACCAGAAAACCAGCUACAAGGUAUGAAGAAAAAUCUAUGGUCAAUGCCCAGCCCUCACCUCAACCAAAUAAGUAACCAGGAGCGGACCAGGCAGAUCUGGAUUCUGAAGAGUGGUGUGACACUUUUUUAAAGCCACCAAAGCCAUUGCUCCAGUUCUAUGAGCCUGAAUGGGAAGAUUCAGUCCUGAACAGGAAGAUUCAAGCGCACAGAUGUGAAUGGAAGAGGUAGAACUGGCCCAGGCUGUGAAAAACCCUGAAAACCCCUGACUUUGUAAAUCAAUAUCAAUCAAUGCCCUGCAAAGUACAUCAUAAAUCUGGAUGUUCAAGAGAGCUAACCCUGAGAAGAAGGCCAUACUGGUGGAACACAGCUGGUGGUCACUUGCUGUUCUUACUGCCCUGACACAAACCUGGCUCAGCAGCAGGGAAUUGCAAGGCCACAGGAGCUGUGGGAGAGGACUGGACUGGCUCUUCAAGCCCCCUGUACUGCUCAAACAUCUGCACUCCAUCUUCCUUGCCAGAGGCAAAAUGGGGAGAAAACCUCCUCUGUCAUCCUUGGCUACCGCCCACAUGCAUAACACAGAGAGACAAUUGGAAAACUGGGAACCUGCUCUAAAAGACUUUCAGAAAUGUGGUGAGCAACUAGAAAUUACACUGUCUUUAGUGCACUGAUGCCCUUCCUUGGGGGCCUACCAGCAGGUCAGCCAUCGGAUAGGAAAUGGUGUGAGAUUAACAAGUGUUUCUUUAUGAAGAUCUGCUUGAAUUAAACUCAGCCUGGCCCCCAGAGAUUAGUAACAGCUCUUCAAAAUCCUCCUGAAAGGAACGUCUGAGUCACAUUCAAAACACAGUAUCAGAUGUUAUGCCUUAAAAGCAACAAUAAACCAGUGUUUAAUAGUG